CAGCAGCCACGGUAAUACGAAGGGGGCUAGCGUUGCUCGGAAUUACUGGGCGUAAAGGGCGCGUAGGCGGACAGUUCAGUCGGGGGUGAAAGCCCGGGGCUCAACCUCGGAAUUGCCUUCGAUACUGGCUGUCUUGAGUAUGAGAGAGGUGUGUGGAACUCCGAGUGUAGAGGUGAAAUUCGUAGAUAUUCGGAAGAACACCAGUGGCGAAGGCGACACACUGGCUCAUUACUGACGCUGAGGCGCGAAAGCGUGGGGAGCAAACAGGAUUAGAUACCCGAGUAGUCCCUGUCUCUUAUAC
rnacentral:rRNA from 1 species